rnacentral:misc_RNA from 1 species
GAAAUGCGAUAAGUAGUGUGAAUUGCAGAAUUCAGUGAAUCAUCGAAUCUUUGAACGCACAUUGCGCCCCUUGGUAUUCCAUGGGGCAUGCCUGUUCGAGCGUCAUUUGUACCCUCAAGCUCUGCUUGGUGUUGGGUGUUUGUCCCCGUCUCCGCGCGUGGACUCGCCCCAAAGUGAUUGGCAGCCGGCGUACUGGUCCCGGAGCGCAGCACAUGUCGCGCAAACGAGUGCCUUGGUACGGCGGCGUCCAUAAGCCCCUCUCUCACUCUCUUGACCUCGGAUCAGGUAGGGAUACCCGCUGAACUUAAGC